GCACAAGCGGUGGAUGAUGUGGUUUAAUUCGAUGCAACGCGAAAAACCUUACCCACCUUUGACAUGGCAGGAAUCCCGAAGAGAUUUGGGAGUGCUCGAAAGAGAACCUGCACACAGGUGCUGCAUGGCUGUCGUCAGCUCGUGUCGUGAGAUGUUGGGUUAAGUCCCGCAACGAGCGCAACCCUUGCCAUUAGUUGCUACGAAAGGGCACUCUAAUGGGACUGCCGGUGACAAACCGGAGGAAGGUGGGGAUGACGUCAAGUCCUCAUGGCCCUUAUAGGUGGGGCUACACACGUCAUACAAUGGCCGGUACAGAGGGUAGCCAACCCGCGAGGGGGAGCCAAUCCCACAAAGCCGGUCGUAGUCCGGAUCGCAGUCUGCAACUCGACUGCGUGAAGUCGGAAUCGCUAGUAAUCGUGGAUCAGAAUGUCACGGUGAAUACGUUCCCGGGUCUU
rnacentral:rRNA from 1 species